ACAUGCCUCACAAAGAGAAAGGGAGGAGUGGUUUGGUUGUAGGAGGGAGGAGGGAAAAAAAAUUGAAAGGUAGUGAUGGGCAGUGUGGUGGUGGGGGCGCUGUUGGGAAGGGUGGAGCCACAAAAAAAUAAUAAGGAGGAGGAGAAAGUGUGUGUGUGUGUUGGGGGGGGAAGGCAGCUCUUUGUGCUUCAGGUUUGGCAGAUGAAAAGAAGGAGAGGGAAGUAAUCAAUAACCAUAAUACGUGAGAAAGUGCCUGAAACAAAGAGAGUGGACGACAAACAGCAGUGCUACACAACAAGAAGUGGUCACAGCAGAGCGGUCAGAGAUGUAAUGAUUAACAGCACACAGUUGUAGAGCAACAAUCUGACUGAUUAUUAAUGUCGCAAUUCGGGACAAUAUUUCAAUGUUCAACGGGAUAAAACCAGACAAACCAUCGUCAGCUCCGCACAGUGGCUGGUUGCCAGCCUUGUCUCUCUCAGGACGUGGGCUAAGAUUAGCUUCCCAUAUGUUCAAGUCAGGCCAAGCCGGGCUUAAAGGGCCAGUCGCGAAAAGUCUUUAUUUAUGCCUUAAUGACAUCACUCCAGCCUCCGCUGUGAUGAAACCUGACACAGCUGUGACUCUCUGUUACAUAAAACCUGGUGGAGUCUUGCAGCAGUGGGAUUUGAAUGAAGUGCACGUGCCCGGCGGGAGCAGCGGAGGUGCAAGAGCCAGUGAGGUGAGAGUUAAAGAGCUCCGGCAACAGCUGAGAGCUCCUCCCCCUCCUCUUUCCAUUCAUUUUUUAUUAACUGCGGCACCGGGCGGCUGACAAACCUCUCACGGCUUCAUCACACCAGGAGUCAGUGUAGGUUGCAGUCAUGUUGAGCGGUACAGUACAAAGUACAGAGACUCACGUUUAUUUUAAUAAAAUAGAAAGUCCCUGUAUGUUGAUGAUUGUAUGUAAACGCGUCACCUGUGGGAAAUCGUGUGGAAGCUAAUGAGGAUCUACAGCAGUUGUUUUCAGGUGAUGCAACCCUUGUACAGUAACAGAGAUCAGGUGACUCCUCAGGGACAGUUAAUGGUUAACAACGAUUACACAUAAAUGUUAUUAAUAUGCUGAGGGGGGAAAAGCUAGAGACAGACACAGUUAUCGCUGCGAUCAACUGAACUUCCUCUGUAUUACAUCACGUGUUGCCCUUUGAUACCUAAGCUCGGUACAUGAAGAGUUAAUCUCAUCAGCUUUGCUGCACGCUGUUUGACUGGGAUCUUGUGUGUGUGUGUUGCUCUGUGUUUGACUGUGUCGCCUGGCGGAGCCUCCUUCAGCCGGAGUUCUUUACAGAGAAAUCCACUCAGGACAGCAGCGGCGCUAAGACGGCAGCAGAUUCUGCCGACCCUAAUGAAGAGGAGGAGGGCAACCCAUUUACAUCAACAGUCAAGGCAAAAAAUGAUUACGGUUUAUUUUUGAUGUACUCAUUUAUUUUUGUUUGUGAGUCUGUAAAAAUGAAAUAGUGUGUUUAAA